rnacentral:rRNA from 1 species
CGCAACCCUUGUCCUUAGUUACCAGCACGUUAUGGUGGGCACUCUAAGGAGACUGCCGGUGACAAACCGGAGGAAGUGGGGAUGACGUCAAGUCAUCAUGGCCCUUACGGCCUGGGCUACACACGUGCUACAAUGGUCGGUACAAAGGGUUGCCAAGCCGCGAGGUGGAGCUAAUCCCAUAAAACCGAUCGUAGUCCGGAUCGCAGUCUGCAACUCGACUGCGUGAAGUCGGAAUCGCUAGUAAUCGUGAAUCAGAAUGUCACGGUGAAUACGUUCCCGGGCCUU